rnacentral:lncRNA from 1 species
UUGUCACAUUUGUAAUUAAAUACUGCCUCAGUAGGCAGCACAUGCCUACUUUUUGCCUGCUUGCCUGCAUAUCAGCAAAUCCUGACCACUUCAAAACAGGCCUAACAAAACCAAACAGAAAACCCUCAACAGGCCAAGAUGCAUCUACUUUCAAGUACUCUGAAUAUCUCUGCUAACAAUGGAUCUGCCACCUUCCAUUACUUUCCUAUUGUACCUUAAAAGUCCACUUUGAAAAGUAUGCCGUAGAAAUGGCAGUCUGAUAUGUAUCUCUAAAUAUUUAUGCCGAGACUUUCUUCUGAAUUUGCAGUGGGUGCAAUCAGUUUUUUGGAGACUUUAGUCAAACUUUCUCUUAGAUAGAAACAGCGACCACACGGGCACACUUCCAUUGCUGGCAAAGAAGGCAAAGUCUCAUUUGUUCAGUAAAAGAAGAUUUUUGCUGGAUGCCACAGGAUGCCUAAAAGCAUGGUGUGAAAAGCAAGUUCUCAGGAGGACGUGAGAAGAGUUCUUAGUUAAUUUUGUUAUCCAAGGUUAAUUGGGGAAGUGACUUCUUGAGCUUCACUUGCAACAAUUACAUAAGAGAAAAAAAAUGGAGAAAUGUCUGCACGCCUUUGCAAAGAUGUCCUGGACCUCCUGCCUUGCGAAGGAAGGCCACACCGCGUGAGGAGGACGGGCCGUGUGAGGAGGACGGGCCGCGUGAGGAGGACAAACCAUGCCAGGCCCAAGUGCUCGGCCCUGGCUGGGGGGACACGGAGAUGGCACGUAGCCCAGGGAUGCUGCUGGCCUGGAGGUACCUCAGGAGAGGGCAAAACCAUGCCAAUAACACGGGGGCAGAUGGUGGCAGAUGACUUGCAGAUGUGGUUGCAAAGGUCACCGCAAAACAAGCUCCAUCCAGAGGACCUGGCGCAGCAGAUUCCUGCUGCAGAGCUAUUUGACUGUAGCGCGCUUCUGGAGCACCUACAGCUGCAUGCAUUAAUACCACGGCGGAGUUUCGAAAUGUUUUCAGGCAGACUUCAGCUCCCUGGGAAAUUAUUUUAAUUAUGAU